UGGGGAAUUUUUCGCAAUGGGCGCAAGCCUGACGAAGCAACGCCGCGUGGAGGAUGAAGGCCUUCGGGUCGUAAACUCCUGUCGACUGGGACGAAAGCAGUCCGGGCUAAUAUCCCGGGCUGUUGACUGUACCGGUGGAGGAAGCCACGGCUAACUCUGUGCCAGCAGCCGCGGUAAUACAGAGGUGGCAAGCGUUGUUCGGAAUUACUGGGCGUAAAGGGCGCGUAGGCGGCUCGACAAGUCCCGCGUGAAAUCCCCCGGCUCAACUGGGGAACUGCGCGGGAAACUGUCGGACUUGAGUUCGGGAGAGGGAAGCGGAAUUCCGGGUGUAGCGGUGAAAUGCGUAGAUAUCCGGAGGAACACCGGUGGCGAAGGCGGCUUCCUGGACCGACACUGACGCUGAGGCGCGAAAGCUAGGGGAGCAAACGGGAUUAGAUACCCGGUAGUCCUAGCCCUAAACGAUGAGCGCUGGGUGUAGGGGUUU
rnacentral:rRNA from 1 species